rnacentral:rRNA from 1 species
GGGCAGCGGGGUAGUGCUUGCACUACUGCCGGCGACCGGCGCACGGGUGAGUAACACGUAUGGAACCUGCCCGCAGCAGGGGGAUAAGCGGAAGAAAUUCCGUCUAAUACCGCGUAACAACGUUGGGAGGCAUCUCCCGAUGUUUAAAGAUUUAUCGGCUGCGGAUGGCCAUGCGGCGCAUUAGCUAGUCGGCGGGGUAACGGCCCACCGAGGCGACGAUGCGUAGGGGUUCUGAGAGGAAGGUCCCCCACACUGGUACUGAGACACGGACCAGACUCCUACGGGAGGCAGCAGUGAGGAAUAUUGGUCAAUGGCCGAGAGGCUGAACCAGCCAAGUCGCGUGAGGGAAGACGGCCCUACGGGUUGUAAACCUCUUUUGUCGGGGAGCAAGGCGAACCACGUGUGGUUCAUUGAGAGUACCCGAAGAAAAAGCAUCGGCUAACUCCGUGCCAGCAGCCGCGGUAAUACGGAGGAUGCGAGCGUUAUCCGGAUUUAUUGGGUUUAAAGGGUGCGCAGGCGGAGGUGCAAGUCAGCGGUCAAAUUGCGGGGCUCAACCCCGUACUGCCGUUGAAACUGCAUCCCUUGAGUGCGCGAGAAGUAUGCAGAAUGCGUGGUGUAGCGGUGAAAUGCAUAGAUAUCACGCAGAACUUCCGAUUGGGAAGGCAGCAUACCGGCGCGCAACUGACGCUCAUGCACGAAAGCGUGGGUAUCGAACAGGAUUAGAUACCCUGGUAGUCCACGCAGUAAACGAUGAACACUAACUGUUCGGCCAGAAUGAUGGCUGAGUGGUACAGCGAAAGCGUUAAGUGUUCCACCUGGGGAGUACGCCGGCAACGGUGAAACUCAAAGGAAUUGACGGGGGCCCGCACAAGCGGAGGAACAUGUGGUUUAAUUCGAUGAUACGCGAGGAACCUUACCCGGGCUCAAACGACACAGGAAUACUUUUGAAAGGAGGUAGCCCUACGGGGUCUGUGUCGAGGUGCUGCAUGGUUGUCGUCAGCUCGUGCCGUGAGGUGUCGGCUUAAGUGCCAUAACGAGCGCAACCCCUAUCGCCAGUUACCAUCAAGUAAAGUUGGGGACUCUGGCGAGACUGCCGGCGCAAGCUGAGAGGAAGGCGGGGAUGACGUCAAAUCAGCACGGCCCUUACGUCCGGGGCGACACACGUGUUACAAUGGCAGGUACAGAGAGAAGCCAGGUGGCGACACCGCGCGGAACUCGAAAGCCUGUCUCAGUUCGGAUCGGAGUCUGCAACCCGACUCCGUGAAGCUGGAUUCGCUAGUAA